AAAAAUAGAUUUGGGUGGAGCUAUUUCUUCCUCAUUUCGCAGGAAACCAUCACGAUAUUUUUAGUUGACAAUCACUGAAGACGACCAGAAAUUCCACUGAAAAGUACGAGGAAUCAGAUUGACUUGCUUCUUCAAUAUCCGAAGAGUCUGUGAGUAUCUGUAUACGCAUAUUCUCAUUCUUAUUCAACUUCAUAUUUCGUUCCAUUGGAAGGAGUGUGCAUAUUAGAGUGAAACAGGGCUGCAUAAUUUUGUAAAUAUGUCUGUUCCCUUGACUCCUGCUAAAAGGUCAUCUGAUCACAACCAUACAGAGUCAAAUGGGAAAGGGAAAUGGCAAAAGUUUGCCGGCAAUUAUUCACAGGAUAAGUCUUCAAAAUCCUUCGAUAGCGAUGUUACAUUCCGCGUUCUUUGUCCAGUUUCCAAAAUUGAUGGUAUUGUUGGAAAAGAUGCAAUCAUAUCACAAAUUAGUCAAGAAACUGGUGCGAUGAUCACAGUUAAGGAGAUUGUUCCUGGUUGUGACGAGAGAGUAGUUGUCAUUGCUCGCUCUGAUAAAGAGUCAGAAGCCAGUAUUGAGCAGAGCAAGGAGGGUGGUGUUGAGGAGACCAAUGCGACAGAAGAGGAUGACAGUAAAAUUAAAGAUAGUGAGAAUGAUGGAGACAAGGAAUCAGAUCCUUUGGCUGAUUCUAAAUCUGAAAACGAAACUUCACAUUUGCAGAAGGCUUUGUUACUUGUUUUUGAAAAACUUGCAGCAGAACCUGAUACAGAUGGAGGUGAUGAGGAAAAUAAUAAUUCUUCAACAUUUAUUUUGAGAUUACUUGUGCUUUCUAAUCAAGUUGGCUGCCUUUUGGGGAAAGGAGGCAGUGUAAUCAAGCUAAUGUCUGCUGAUAGUGGGGCACAGAUUCGGGUUCUUCCGAGAGACAAACUUCCUACUUGUGCAUCAGCUUCUGAUGAAGUAGUUCAGAUCUCAGGAGAGAUUGAUGCAGUUAGGAAAGCUCUUCAUUCUGUUUCUCAACAACUUUUGGAGAAACCUCGGGAUCAUGAUUCUUUCCCGGCCAAUCCAACUGAGCCACCACAUCCCCCUAACCAUUCUUUUGGUUCUCAAGGAGCACCUUAUUCUUCUGGGCGUCGGGAUGUUGCUGCUCAUUCAUCUAUCCCCCCGUUGAUCCCUAAGUUUCAUGAGAGUGGUGUCCCAGGCCGACUGAAGCCUUUACAGGAACUUCUAACAUUCCGCAUAUUGUGCCAUGAUGAGAGAGUAGGAGGUGUCAUUGGAAAGGGAGGAGCAAUAAUAAAGACACUUCAGCAAGAGACUGGAUGUGAGAUUAAAGUUCUAGAAGCUGUUUCUGAUACAGAUGACCGCAUCAUUGUUGUAUCUGGUCCAGCACACCCAGAUGAUCGGAUUUCACCUCCACAAGAUGCAGUUCUUCGUGUGCAGACUAGGAUAACUAGGGCUAUUCCUGAUAGCAGGGAGCAGGUCAUGGCAAGGCUUCUUGUAUCGUCUAAUCAAAUUGGCUGUCUUCUCGGUAAGGGUGGUGCUAUCAUAGCUGAGAUGAGAAAGUUAACUGGGGCUUAUAUUCGCAUAUUGGGGAAGGAUCAGAUUCCUAAGUGUGCUUCUGAAAGCGAAGAAGUUGUUCAGAUUAAUGGAGAAUUUGAAGCAGUUCAAGAGGCUCUUUUGCAGAUAACAACUAGGUUGCGUAAUCAUUUUUUCCGUGAUGCAUUUCCUUCAAUGAACCAUCCUCUAAAUCCUGCCUUUCUGGAUCAUGUACCUCCAUUUCCUUCAUAUGUGGGAAGGAGGGAACACUCACCUCCAGGAAUGUAUUCUAAUUUUGGUCCAUCAUUUCACAAGUUUGAUGUUGUUGGUGGCCCACCUCCACAUGGUGGUUUUCAUCCCCAUGAUGAUCGUUCUCUUUUUAUGCAUCAUGUUCGUAGACCAGGCAUGGCCCCUCAUGUACCUGAAAGGAAACCAUGGGGAGCUCAGGGAUUUAUCGAAGGUGGUGGCUCAAUUGGUUUGCCAGAUUUUGCUGGACCUCCUCAUAGAAGAAUUUUGGGUUUUGGAGGAGGAAGUCAGCCAGCUAUUAUAACAAGUACUACUGUUGAAGUUGUUGUUCCUCGUUCUCUUGUUCCUAUAAUUGAAGGAGAAGAUGGUGCAUGUUUGAAACAAAUUCGUCAGAUCUCGGAUGCAAAAAUUACAAUUACUGAGCCCAAGCCUGGAGCAACUGAAACUGUGAUCAUUAUAUCUGGGACACCAGAACAAACUCAUGCUGCACAAAGUCUUAUUCAGGCAUUUGUGGUGAGUGAGACAGAAUCUACUUGAGCUAUCAGCGCUAGAGCCAACUGUACUCUAGCGACUUCAGCACUAGAGUGGCUUUCCUUAACUGCUGGAGUGAAGAGAGAAAAAGUGGAAAGAGAUUGGAUGAAGAGUCUUAUCUACUAAGCCAAUUAAAAAGAGUACGUGUUGCUGAAACUUAAGACCUCAACUGAAGAUCUUGAAGAACGGAGAUUGCCAGAAAUUUGUGUUUGCAAGUCCACUUAGUAUGAGGACAUUUACUUAACAUGGAUAGGGACAGAUUUUUGCUUUAUUAACUUAUUAGUCCCAUUAUAGAAAGCAUUCCUCUCCCAUCUCACUUGAAUGUCGAUCAGAUUGUAUCUCAGGUCUUAGACACGCUGGAAAGAAACAAUCUUUGGACUAACAUAAACAUUGUAUCGAUUGAACUUCUAAGUAACAUCAAGGAAAAUAUUAUAGCUCAUGCUGAGUUGUCACAUUGGUGUACUUAUUUGUGAUCCUGUUAUUUCUUUUAGUA